ensembl:lncRNA
GGGAGACCAUCGCUCCAACCGUUGCCUCUGACCUAGAUUCCCUGCACUAAUUACAAGCCUAACAGGGAGCUAACAAACACCCAACUUAGCACAGCUGAGACCCUCGAGGUCAAUUAGUGCAUCCCGGCUCCACUCCGGAAUCGAGAGAUGGAGCCAAAAAGUCGAUUGGCCUCGGCCCAGCCCCACUGCAACCUAGAGACUGGGAGCGGGGAUGGGGAGAAGAAUGCAGAAAUUAGCGGGGCCGGCUUAAAAAUGGGGAUCCUGGAGACUUAACCAGUGUGGGGAGCAAUGUGUUCAGGAUGGGGAGCAACACAGAGUCCCCACUCUUCCUAACUGAUUAGAGGCAUAGAGGUUGAUGCAGCUGCAGAAGUGAUAAACACGAGGCAGGUUUCAUAGAGACUUCAUAUGAGCACCGGUAACAGAAAAGGAAGCAGAGCCGGAACUCUGUCCUCUGGGAUCUGUGUCCUCGCCUCUGGCGAAAUCCCUCCUCUUCUUGGCUUCCAGCUUUGGACAGUUGAGAUAUCAACACCAUGACAGCACAGUCCUUUCCUGCCAGGUGGCACAGUGAGGUGCUAGAAGAGCUCUCGUCCUGUCCUGGGUGUGUGGACAGUGUCCUACCCCAUUCUGAUGCUCGUGGCUCUGUGGGGGUCGGAGGGGAAGGAGAGGGCCGGUGGCAUGCUUUAAGUACAGGUGAGGGAAUGCCUUACAGCCGCCCCAGGAGUCAAAUCCUCAUCACCCUUCGCAUCCACCAGCUCUAGCUGCAGAGGGCAGUUCUGCCAGCACAGCCUCAUGCACUCCAGGCUUACACCGUAACCAGGAGGAUUCCCAUUAACGCCAUGUCUAGAUGUUGAUGUCUCCCAAGUGUAUUCCUCCAGCCCGAGCUCCCACCCCCAAGAUCAAGGCCCUUACAGCCAAGUACCCAUCUGACAUCUCUGCCUGCGAGGUCACUAAUGGGCAUCUUCAACUUACUGUGCGGCUUGAAUCUGAGUUUGUGUUGAUUGAUAAAUAGAACUUGCCACUGUGUAAGUUCCAGAGCUUAAGGAUCCUGUAGUUUCCACUCUGUCCUUAAAAUUCAGCUGCAUAUAAGAAGCCUGGGCUAGCAUCCUUGAUGUGAGACAAUGUAGUUUAGAACUGAAAACCACGUGGAUCCAUCCCAAAUCCAAGCAUCCAGCAAAACAUAGCCGAGGACGUCCUAACUGGCAGGACCAGAAAACCAGCUACCUGGUCACUCCCCAGAAUUUGGAGAAAUUAAAGAGCUCUCCCCUGCGGCCCCAUACCAGGGAUCAAACUCAGGACCUUGCGCUUGUCAGGCAGGUGAGGUGCCACUGAGCUACAUCUGCAACUGGAGGAAUUAAUAAAC